GAUCUUGAGUAGAUGAAGGGGUUCAAAUCCAAAGACUGUUGGUCGGUCCUUCUACCCUCAUCAUUAUUUACAACAAGACUCUUUCCUUGGGCCUCAAGGCAGAACACGAGAGGCAUCAGAUGACAUGAAAGCAAAAUUCAAGGACAUCGCUGCAUCUGUGGGAUUUAAUGUGAACCAAAUAACCGCUGCAAGGCUAGCAGAGUCAUGCCCAUAAUGUUACUAAGUAUAGUGUGUUCUGGACCCUUCCUGGCUGGGCACAGAGGAGAAGCCUUCCCCUUUCCAGGGGUGGGAUCAGAAGAACACUCAUUCUGAGUUCGAAUUUGAGAUUCUAAAGUGCUGCACUUACCAACAUCUGCAAAUUUAACCAUUCCAAGAAAUAUACGUAGUUGCAGAAA